rnacentral:rRNA from 1 species
GACGAACGCUGGCGGCGUGCCUAAUACAUGCAAGUUGAGCGCUGAAGGUUGGUACUUGUACCAACUGGAUGAGCAGCGCACGGGUGAGUAACGCGUGGGGAAUCUGCCUUUGAGCGGGGGACAACAUUUGGAAACGAAUGCUAAUACCGCAUAAAAACUUUAAACACAAGUUUUAAGUUUGAAAGAUGCAAUUGCAUCACUCAAAGAUGAUCCCGCGUUGUAUUAGUUAGUUGGUGAGGUAAAGGCUCACCAAGGCGAUGAUACAUAGCCGACCUGAGAGGGUGAUCGGCCACAUUGGGACUGAGACACGGCCCAAACUCCUACGGGAGGCAGCAGUAGGGAAUCUUCGGCAAUGGACGAAAGUCUGACCGAGCAACGCCGCGUGAGGGAAGAAGGUUUUCGGAUCGGAAAACUCUGUUGGUAGAGAAGAACGUUGGUGAGAGUGGAAAGCUCAUCAAGUGACGGUAACUACCCAGAAAGGGACGGCUAACUACGUG